rnacentral:rRNA from 1 species
GACGUAGGGCGCGAGCGUUGUCCGGAUUUAUUGGGCGUAAAGAGCUCGUAGGCGGCUUGUCGCGUCGGCUGUGAAAACCCGCGGCUCAACUGUGGGCGGGCAGCUGAUACGGGCAGGCUGGAGUUCGGUAGGGGAGACUGGAAUUCCUGGUGUAGCGGUGAAAUGCGCAGAUAUCAGGAGGAGCACCGGUGGCGAAGGCGGAUCUCUGGGCCGUAACUGACGCUGAGGAGCGAAAGCAUGGGGAGCGAACAGG